UACGGAGGGUGCGAGCGUUGUCCGGAAUUACUGGGCGUAAAGCGCGCGUAGGCGGCCAACUAAGUCAGACGUGAAAUCCCUCAGCUUAACUGGGGAACUGCGUCUGAUACUGGAUGGCUUGGAUUUGGGAGAGGGAUGCGGAAUUCCUGGUGUAGCGGUGAAAUGCGCAGAUAUCAGGAAGAACACCCGUGGCGGAAGGCGGCUC
rnacentral:rRNA from 1 species